rnacentral:lncRNA from 1 species
UAUGAUCAUAUGUGGAGUUAACCUAAGUCCAGACAGAUUGGCAGUUAACUUCCCUUUCUCAUCUUUGUUUUUCUUUUGAGGAGAUUGGUGUAAGUCCAUUGAGUGGCUUCUGAUAUCCUGUUCUGUUUUAGGAGACUGGUGUAAAUCCAUUUAUUGGUAUCCGGUAUCCACCUUUUAUUUCUUUGUUUGAGGAGAUUAGUGUA